CAGCGGCAGACGGGUGAGUAACGCGUGGGAACGUACCUUUUGGUUCGGAACAACACAGGGAAACUUGUGCUAAUACCGGAUAAGCCCUUACGGGGAAAGAUUUAUCGCCGAAAGAUCGGCCCGCGUCUGAUUAGCUAGUUGGUGAGGUAACGGCUCACCAAGGCGACGAUCAGUAGCCGGUCUGAGAGGAUGAUCAGCCACAUUGGGACUGAGACACGGCCCAAACUCCUACGGGAGGCAGCAGUGGGGAAUAUUGGACAAUGGGGGCAACCCUGAUCCAGCCAUGCCGCGUGAGUGAUGAAGGCCCUAGGGUUGUAAAGCUCUUUUGUGCGGGAAGAUAAUGACGGUACCGCAAGAAUAAGCCCCGGCUAACUUCGUGCCAGCAGCCGCGGUAAUACGAAGGGGGCUAGCGUUGCUCGGAAUCACUGGGCGUAAAGGGUGCGUAGGCGGGUCUUUAAGUCAGAGGUGAAAUCCUGGAGCUCAACUCCAGAACUGCCUUUGAUACUGAGGAUCUCGAGUUCGGGAGAGGUGAGUGGAACUGCGAGUGUAGAGGUGAAAUUCGUAGAUAUUCGCAAGAACACCAGUGGCGAAGGCGGCUCACUGGCCCGAUACUGACGCUGAGGCACGAAAGCGUGGGGAGCAAACAGGAUUAGAUACCCUGGUAGUCCACGCCGUANACGAUGAAUGCCAGCCGUUGGGAAG
rnacentral:rRNA from 1 species